rnacentral:lncRNA from 14 species
GGCAGCUAAACACCUACCGGAAGAACAUAGGGGGCCUGAGGCUCCUUUUCCUGCUGCUUCCCAUCCUGUUGAGUGAGUAUCCCUGACCAAAAAUGGUUCUCUCAGUUCUGGGAAGAGGGACCAGCUCCUGAGGAAAAUAAUCAUCUCUUGACAAUGUGACUUACAGCUCUUGGCUACUUGUGUGGCGCAGUGACCUGGCUCAAGGAUGCGCUGGGGGAGAUGUCCUGGCCUCGUGGAGCUGAGCAGGAACUACUGGGCAGUUCACAGGCCUCGGUGAAGCAGGAGAUGCAGGACUUCAAUCAGAAAGCGGUUCAGGUGUAUGCUGCUAGGAGGAAUGUACUACAGAUUGUGAGAGAUGUCCUCGAAGACCAUGCUGUCCAAGAGGAGCAAACGCAGGAAAUUCUGCAGUUGACAGAGGUGGCAGUUAAGAAGGUGCUUGAGAACUAUGUCCUGAUGCCUGACUGGGCUCUGGAGUCCACAGGUGCCACCAUCGAUGAAGAGAGGACAUCCAAGAGUUAUGGUGGGAAAGACAUGAUCACCUGGAUGCGUUCUCU